GGGAUUUGUUUCGCCCCUUCUAUAUAGGCUUGUGAGAGAGAGGAUACCGUGUCACACAAUGCAACGACGGUACCUGUGUCGGAGAGGGCGAUUCAGGCACCUGGAACUGAGACACUGUUCCAGACACCUACGGUGGCAGCAGUCGAGAAUAAUCACCAUGGGGCAGCCUGAUGGUGCACGCCGCUGAGAUGACGUCUUCGGAUUGUAAACUCCUGUCAUCGGAGUAAGACCUGGCUGUGAAUAGCAGACAGGGUUGAUAGUACCGGAAGAGGAAGGGACGGCUAACUUCGUGCCAGCAGCCGCGGUAAUACGAAGGUCCCGAGCGUUGUUCGGAAUCACUGGGCGUAAAGGGAGCGUAGGCGGCGUGGUAAGUCAGAUGUGAAAUCCCGGGGCUCAACCCCCGGAACUGCAUCCGAUACUGCCGUGCUAGAGGAUUGGAGAGGUAGCUGGAAUUCUUGGUGUAGCAGUGAAAUGCGUAGAGAUCAAGAGGAACACUCGUGGCGAAAGCGAGCUACUGGACAAUAUCUGACGCUGAGGCUCGAAGGCCAGGGUAGCGAAAGGGAUUAGAUACCCCUGUAGUCCUGGCAGUAAACGGUGCACGCUUGGUGUGAGGGGAAUCGACCCCCCUUGUGCCGGAGCUAACGCGUUAAGCGUGCCGCCUGGGAAGUACGGUCGCAAGACUAAAACUCAAAGAAAUUGACGGGGACCCACACAAGCGGUGGAGUAUGUGGCUUAAUUCGAUGCAACGCGAAGAACCUUACCAAGGCUUGACAUGGAUUUCUAAGCACGUGAAAGCGUGUGACCCUUCGGGGAACUUCCACAGGUGCUGCAUGGCCGUCGUCAGCUCGUGUCGUGAGAUGUUGGGUUAAGUCCCGCAACGAGCGCAACCCUUGUGACUAGUUGCCAGCACGUAAUGGUGGGAACUCUAGUCAGACUGCCCAGAUCAACUGGGAGGAAGGUGGGGACGACGUCAGGUCAGUAUGGCCCUUACGCCUUGGGCUGCACACGUACUACAAUGCCCAGCACAAUGAGAACCGAGACCGCGAGGUGGAGGAAAUCUAAAAAACUGGGCCCAGUUCGGAUUGGAGGCUGCAACUCGACUGCGUGAAGUCGGAAUCGCUAGUAAUCGUGGAUCAGAAUGUCACGGUGAAUACGUUCCCGGGUCUUGUACACACCGCCCGUCACACCAUGGGAGCGGGUUCUGCCAGAAGUAGUUAGCUUAACCGCAAGGAGGGCGAUACCACGGCAGGUCGACUGA
rnacentral:rRNA from 1 species